UGGGGAAUAUUGCACAAUGGGCGCAAGCCUGAUGCAGCCAUGCCGCGUGUGUGAAGAAGGCCUUCGGGUUGUAAAGCACUUUCAGCGAGGAGGAAGGGUUCAGUGUUAAUAGCACUGUUCAUUGACGUUACUCGCAGAAGAAGCACCGGCUAACUCCGUGCCAGCAGCCGCGGUAAUACGGAGGGUGCAAGCGUUAAUCGGAAUUACUGGGCGUAAAGCGCACGCAGGCGGUUUGUUAAGUCAGAUGUGAAAUCCCCGCGCUUAACGUGGAACUGCAUUUGAAACUGGCAAGCUAGAGUCUUGUAGAGGGGGGUAGAAUUCCAGGUGUAGCGGUGAAAUGCGUAGAGAUCUGGAGGAAUACCGGUGGCGAAGGCGGCCCCCCUGGACAAAGACUGACGCUCAGGUGCGAAAGCGU
rnacentral:rRNA from 1 species